AAAGCAAAGCAGCAAAUCUGUUUUAUUGCUGUACCUAUACCAGUGGAGGAAGAGGGGGAAAAUACAGGAGGAAGAGGACAAGACAGACACGUGUUCAUUUAAAUAAUGUACCUCUGUGUGUGAGAGGAAAUUCACUGAACUGAAUUUAUUUUGCAGCCCCUGACGGACUCAUAGUUUCACAUUUGGUUCUCUCUACUUCAAGUGUCCUGGUCUGUUAUUUUUAUUGUAAUUUUGGUGAACAACUACUUGCUCUUUGCUAGUGGGUUGAUUAACACUCAAGUACUAAACAGCCUUCUAAUUGACUCCUACUUUGCACUCUUCCUCCAUGAAACAGAUGCCUUCAUACUGGGAGAACUACACUGUGGCAUCUUCCCAGUCUGCAAUCCCAGCAGCGCUUCCUGAGCCGAGUCUCACAUCAUGUGGAAUACCCUGAUUUGAUCUAACUGCAAGGAACAGUUUCCCACUUUUAUACAUGGAGGUAUUUUGGAAGAGGGUUUUGUUUUUGUUUUAAAUGCAACCCUGCUGUUCCAGCUCACAUUUUGUUUUCCCUAAGAGAAAAGAAAAACAACUGGAAAAUGGAUAAGAACUGCAUUGUUCCAAUCCCUACUUUCUGCCAUUUCAGUUAAUUACUGUAUUGCAGAAGUUGGUGACACUUUUCAAGAAACUGAAGUGAGCUGACCAUUGUGAAGGAAGAGAGGCUGACAGCAGAAGAGAGAGGCAAAGGGAUAAUGCCCCAGAGGCAGAAAAAAGCCAUGAGCAAAUUGAAUUACCACAACCCAUCCCAGUGAGUCCUCUGCCCUCUCUUGUCUACCUCACUUUGCUCAUUUAACCUAAAGAAAGACUUGUAGUACUGUAAAAGAGUAAAAUCUAUCCCUAUAACAGACAGUGUGACUUAGACGCAUGAGGACAGCCUUUGGGCCUUGUAUUCCAGCUAUACAGGCAGCACUUCCAUGUGGGAGCAAGGCGGAUGUGGUACCCACCCUAUCUGCAGGACAUAGGCUGCAGCCAUCUAUGCCCUUGUGGCCCUAUCUUGGCUUGAUGAAUUCCUCUCCACCUCAUCCUCUAUCUUGUCAGUGCUGAGCAUCAUGAUGUUAAGCCUAUUGGAAUACUUGUCUUAAAUCACAUGGAAAUAUAAAGCUUCUUCUCACAGGUGAAAUUCAGAGGCAAACACAAAGACCUGCCUGGUGCUUACAAGCUUCAUUACAACUUGUGCUGGCCAUGAUGGUCUCCCACUCCAAAGGAAGUGCCUAUAGAGCUGUGCAAAACUCAUCCCAUCCUGCUGAGAAUUUUCAGAUCUCAGAUUUUGCUUUGUCACCAACACAAAGAAAGCCGACCAGCUCUCCUCAGUGCCUGUGCCUGUUCAGGCUGCUCCCCUUAUUGAUGGGAGAAGGUGCUUCUGCUGAGGGACCUGUCUCACUGGAGGUAAAGAUGGAUGCAGAUCAAGCUGAUGUCAAGACUCCCAGAGCCCUAGUUUUCCUCUAGCUUCUGCUCCUGACAGCUGGGAGGGAAUGGGGAGCAGCCACCCCAGAACACUGAGUAAUUAUUUGCCUCUCUUGAACAAAUUGGAAGGAAGCUAGACAUUUUGUGAUGGAAAUUUUUCAGCUUCCCAUACAUUCCUCAGUAAAGUCAUGCCAUCCAUGUGGAAAGUUUUGAUUGUGACUCGUCAAUGAAGAAACAUGCCAUUGAGUAAUUGCUGUCCUGGCUUUAUUUGCAGUUGUCCUUCUUUUUGAACAUUAAUGAGAAAGCAACCUUAUGAGUCAGAAGCAGUUGGUGGGAGAGAACUUAACUGAGCUUACCUUUACUUCUUGUACUUGUAACUCAGAUAAGAUUCGAUGACCUCUUUCUCUUCUGUCUGCCUAGACCAUUCCCCAUCUCCAGCUGUGGACUAGCAGAUAGCUAGAAAUGGGUUGAUGCUCAUCUUAACCAAAACAGAGAUGUCAGGGGAAAAAAAAAAAAAAAAAAAAAAAAAGAAGAAGUAUUG
rnacentral:lncRNA from 1 species